rnacentral:lncRNA from 1 species
AUGUGAAUUCAGCUUUUGUUGUUUCAGCAACUCUUCAGUCAUGGGCUAGGAAGAAACGGCAAAACGAGUAAGGUGAGUUAAACAUGGCCAACAAAAUUUUUUUUUUGUCUUCAAAAAUGUCUGUUGCAUCUUUUGCCAGAGAUUUAGAGAAUCAGAUUUGUUGCAUAAAUUAUCAGUAUGAAUUCCUAAAGACAGGUCUGUUCCUUAUUAAGAACACUGAUUCACCUCCAUUUGUACUAUGCUCCCCAGCUUCCCUCUCCACUUUUCUGUACCAAUUCACACAAACACUACAUGUUUAUUCAGCGAAAGCAAGUAAUUCAGAGUUCAAUGAGAAGGGGAGGAUUUAAUAAAGGAAAUGCUUACAAUGACCAAAUAUUUGCUUUAUUCUAUUUUUAAUCAAGGAGUUGAAAAGGCAUACUCAUCAAACUUACACUUCCUGAGAGAAGUUACAUUCCGGCUACCUUUCUUACAACAUGCUUGUUUCACAUUAUUGGAAAAAAUUGGCAGAUUUUGAUAUGGACUAUAUAUUAGGUAACAGUAUUUUAUCAAUGUCUAAUUUUCUAAAUUUGAUAAUUGUACUGUAAUUAUAUAAGAGAUGUCCUUGUCCUUAAGAAAUAAUGCUUAAGUAUUUAGGGUAAAGGAGUAUACUAUCUACAACUAAUUCUCAAAUGGUUCAAGAAUUUUUAAAAAAUACUGUGCAAAUACAGACAGUGGGAGAGUUUAUAAAGCAAAUGUGACAAAAUAUUUGCAACUGGUAAAUCUGGGUAAAGGGUAUAUGGGAGUUCUUGGUAUUUCUCUUAUAACAUCUCUGUACGUUUGAAAUUAUUUCAAAAUAAAAAGAGAAAAAUUAAAAUAAAUUUAAAAUAGAUGUGCCUAAAGGCAGAUUUAUAGCAUAAGCACAGAUAAAUAAUCCAUAGUGAAAUGGGAAAGAGAUAUAUUUUAUAGGAAUAUCAAUUCACUUAAAAGAUUCAGGAGAAAAAAGUAUGAUUUUAUAUAUGGGACAAUUUAUAUAUGGAACAAUGAUUUAUAUAUGGGACAAUAAGAUAAACUUAUUGAACUAUUCUUAGUAAUCAUUACAAGCUAAGGAUGUUAAAAUAAAACUACAAAUUUACUGCGGCAAUUAAAUUUGAUCUUCCCGCCUCCAUACCUGCUUCCAUUCCAAUUAGGAAUAUAAACUCAUUAAGAGAGAAAAGGCAACUGCUAUUCAUUUUUUGUUUCCCUCACACUUUCAGACUUGAUUACCACUUUCAAGGCAGUGGAGUUACAGCUUACCUUAAAUCCCUUCCUGCCAGCAACUGACUGGAAGCAUAAAAAUUGCAGAAGAAAAAUCUCUUCUAUUCCUCCAGUGCUAUUUAUCAACUUUUCUAACACCUACUAAAUGCUAUAAUAAGCAAAGCACCAUGUGAGGCACUGUGAGGAAUACAAUGCUGACAUAACAUAUAUCUGUUGCACACUAACUAUGUGCUAGGCACUGUCUUGAAGAUAGAGUAUCAUGCAAGACAAAGUCCCUGUGCUCUUGAAACUUAUAUUUUGCAGGGGUUGGAGUGGGGAGUACAUGAUAAACAAACAAGGAAAUGCAAAAAAUAUUAUGGACAAGCCCUGUGCGGCAAAACAGGAAAGCAUAAUACAGAGUGGGUGGUUAAAUUACCCUAAAUUGUUUGAUCAGAGAAAGGUCUUUAUGAGGCAGCAUUUAAAUAGAUAUCUGAAGGAAAAAGAAUCAGUCCUGCAAAGAUCAGCAGAACAAUCCAGGCAGAAAGAACAGCUAAUGGAAUAUGAGCCUGGAAAAGAGAAAGGCCUCUGUGGCUAGAAUAGCACUCUCCAGUAGAAAUAUAAUGUGAGCCAUGUAUGUAAUUUUUAAUUUUCUAGUAGCUUCAAUGAACAAAGUACAAAAUAAAUAGGUAAACUUAAUUUUAACAAAAUAUUUUAUUUAACCCAAUAUAUCCAAAAUGUUAUCAUAAACAUGUAAAUAAUAUAAAAAUUAUUAAUGAGAUAACAUUAUUAUCUGAGAUAAUAUUACAUGAUUUUUCAUAAGUCUGAAAUUCAAGGUAUAUUUUAUACUCACAGCACAUCUCAAUUUGGACUAGCCACAUUUCAAGGGUUCAACAGCUCCUAAGACUAGUGGCUAGCUUACUGGAUAGCACAGGGCUAGAGCAUAGUGGGCAAAGGGGACAGGGAAACUCAAUGAGGUGGAGAGGCAGGCAGGCACCAGGUCACAUCCAGCUUCAGACAACAAAGUUAAUGAACUGGAUUUCAUUUUAAUUGAAAUGAGAAUAGACUGCAGUUUUUUAACAGGUAAUCAUACAGAAGUUUUGAAAAGAUCAUGCUGUGGUGAAUGAAUUAUUGGGGAGCACCAAGAGAAGCAGAGAGACCAGGUAGGAGGCUGCUGCGGUAGUGCAGGUGAAAGACAAUAGUAGCUUGGAUCCUGGUGGUUAGUAAAGGGAGGGGGAAAUAAAUGGAUAGAUAUGGAUAUGUUUUGAAAGUAUAGCUAACAGGACUUGCUGGUGGACUGGAUAGAGGGAGAGGGAAAAAAGCAGCAAGGAUAAUGACUUCUGGAAAAAUUAUUUGAGAUAUUUGUUGUUGUGAGUAUAACAGGAAGCCUUCACCUGAGGCAAUAUGAACUAUGUCACACCAUGGGCAAAGUAACCACAUUAAUAGAUGUUUACAAUGAUUCUAACUAAUAAAUAAAUUCAUCAUUUACUUAAUGAUAAAACCAUCUCUAUAAAAUUUGGCUUCUUACUUCUUCAGCGUAAAACAACAGUAACACCUACAGUAAGAUACUUUGAAAUUCAAACUACAACAGGCAGAAUUAAAGAAAAUAGCUUCAAGUUUAAAAUGGCAAGGAAGGUGGUCAUAUUUAUUUACUUUAAACCAAACAAUCUUACAGUGGUGAAGGAAACUUUAUAAACUAACCAUCUGAUCCAAUCCUAUUUUACAUACAAGGAAAUGGAAACUUAGAGAAGUAAUUAGUCCAAGGUUUCAUGGGAAAUCAGGAAAAAGAUCCAAUUAAACUGAACUGGAUUUCCACUCAGGUUGGGAAUGUAUCUCUCAUUUCUAUAAACCCAUUGCCUACCAUAAUGCCGGGAAUACUGCAGAGAUCAAAAGUUUUUGUUUAAUGAACAAAUAAGAACAAUAAAAACAAACAAAAACGAGCCUUUAGUGGCUCUCUUAGAAAUAAGACUGUAUAUAACAUAUAUUCGAACAGCAACUUUAAAGCCAAAGAAUGCCACAGGAAAAUACAUAAUGUAUUUGAAUCUCAUAUGAAUCAAUCUUGACAUGAAUAAUAAUAAGAAACCUCUUUUUCUAUAAAUAAUGUACUGACCUAAAAGUUGGAAGAUAUUUGUUUCUUCUUUAUUUGUAAUAAUUUACUAUUUUGCAUCUCAGAAAAAUGUCCUUGCAGGUAACAGUCUGCUGAAAGAGCACUUAGCAAGUCCCACUAAGCCAACAACAUAAUGAAUUCUUGUGAAGUAUCAAGUACAUAAAACAGUCACUCCUACAAUGAUAGUGUAGCCCAUGAAAUAAGUAAUACCUGAUUUGGUAGAAUCAGUGUUACUCUCUAGACACUCAGGUACUAAAAUCAUGUGGAAAUGAUAAUAUAAUUUUAAAUUAAGUCACUUUUGACUCAGAAUUAGGACAAAGGCUUUCCAGUAUCAGAAAAGAGAACCGCUUCCAGGCCUAGUGUUGCACAAUAUGAGACUUUUUUUUAGGCUAAGGCCAGUUUUUAGACUUUUUGUGUUAACAGCAGUUUUCUUGGCACUUUCUAGUCCUCACAGUAGUGAGUUAUAGAUCUCAAACUGCUAUAAUUGUCAACCCUAUUGUUAAUAAUAGGAGACAGACAAGAACCAUUGACUACCAUAAAAUUAAAGGCCUAAUCUUUUACCAGCAUCUAAUGCCAACAUCUUCCAAAGGGCCUGAUCCACUUCACAUAACUAAAAUAAGAGUGGGAUAAAUUUACCAUAGUCACAAAGGAGCAGACCUUGGCAUUGCAAGGUUUAAGGCAAAGAUCUUCUGUUCUUUGAAUUUAGAUAGAAAGGGAAAUUGCACAUGGGCCAGAGCUCAUUGCUGUUUACUAAGGGACCACAUCCCUCCCAUCAUAGCUUUUCUAGUUCAGGGCCAGACAAUAAAGAAGGGAAUUACCAGCUAGAAGAAGGCUUCAAACCUUUCUUUAGAUAUCUGAACAGCCUUAGGUCCUCAUACAUAAAUUCUGUAGAAGGGAAAUAAAUUACUUUGUAUAAUAUCAGAAUAUCAGUAAGCAGAACUACACUGUUGCUAUUUUUCUUUAAUAAAUAAGAAAGGAACAAAGAAAAAGACGGAAAGAAGGAAAGAAAAAAAAGAGGAAAAGCAAUCAGGAGGAAUCCUGAUGUCAAUAUUUAAUAGUGCAUAAAAUAUGGUAAGUGGAGGAUUAAACAAAGGAAUCAAAAUAACCUUACAGAACAAUCUUGCUCUUUAAGAUAAAAGGUUUUCUCCAUAUUUGUGGCAGAACUGAACUAAAGGAAACAUUUUUUUCUUUCAUGGUUUCGUGUUUCUACAAACUAAAAAAGAGAACUACCAAAAAAAAUUAUAUUAUUUCUAUUCUUUCCAUAUUUGUUCAGAGAAAUAGACAAAAACCAGUCUGCCAUUGUCCCAUCUAGCACUGGUUUUGUCAUAAGGCUCUUAAGGAGCUUAAAAGUAACCAGAUUUAAACAAUAGAUACACCGCCCAUUUUAUUUACAAACAUGUUGGGCCCAAUUCAUCUAUUUUCCCUGACAUCCUAAAUUAUUAGAGAAAAUGGCAUAAUAAUUAAAUGCCACAUUUCUUGAAGCUGAAUGACAUUUUCUCCCACCUCCUAAUUUUUGUUUUUCUAGAAACAGUAAACAAUGUAAGUCAAGUCACAGCAGAAAGGUCAUACACUACCAUCUUAAAGCUCUAAUGUCCAAAUUUAGUGAAGUAAAGGGACUUGACCUGAAGAUACAGUUACCAUAGUUUAUAUGUGUUCAUUCAGAUGACAAUUUUUUUCACAUAAUCUCUAAAGAAUCCUCCGAGCAUCCUUAGGUUAGAGAAAGAGGGCUCCUGGUUUAAAAUAAGUACUUACUUAAAUUAAUAUACUUCAGACAAUGGGGUUUAAUGUAUAGAAUUAAAGUGUCUUGCCUGAGAAUGGUCAGAAAUCUUUGUCUCUGCAUGGGCUACGUUAGUUAAACAAGGAACUUUCCAUAUCUCCAAAUUGAGAGACUGCCUGAAGAUGAUCUUUAAAAUCCUUCUCCACUCCAAAAUCCAGUCACCAAAAUAUAGUAUUUUAUUUAAAUACGGAGAAAAAAAGAUCUUGUUUUGGCUGUUAUUUUCUCAGUCUUUAUGUAACGUUCUACAAUAUUGGUCAUAUUUGGUGGCGGGCUGGGGGGACGAGUUUAUUUCCCAUCCAUCCUGGCCCAACUAAUUUUAGACCCUAAUAUGAAAACACCAUGUUUAAUUUGUAACACCUAUGUCUAGUCACAGAAAUACUGUAAAGCCCAAAUUUAGCUGCGAGGCUCCACUGAAAGAAAAAGCAAAAGAAAAGAAGUACACAGUGUUAAGCAUACAGUGCUUAACAUUUUAUACAAAAUGAAAAUGCACUGACUUUUUACCUUUCAUGACACUUUCAUCUAUGCUGUUUCUCAUCUAUGCUGCUUCUCAUAAUUUUGUGUAAAUUUAAAAACUUUUCUCCUGUUUUCUGCUUAGGUUCUUAUUGUGAUAGACAGUAUACAUACCAUAGAACUACUUUCCAAAAAUUUCAAGUGGCCAUCAACAAUGUCACUUAUCAAGCUCUAAAUUUCUGGAAUGACGUUGACCAGUAGCAGGCUUUCUAAAAAAUGCCUUCUAGAUCACAUCUACCUUUGUGACAGUAUUGUUAAAUAAGUUGUAUCAAGUGGAACAUGCCAGAAUGUUUCACAAAGUUUAUUGAAGCUAGCAUUUACUGUUGCUAUAGAAACAAACUACCAUAGUUGAAUUUAAAAGGUUGGUACAGAAUCAAUUGGGCAGACACGAAUAGCUCAAAUUAAGCAAUUAAGAAUUCAAGACUAUAAUGAAUGAAACUCUCCUCUGAUCCAAUAAUGGGUUAAUCCUUUCUUAAUAUCAAAUAUCUUCCAGUAGAACUCAGUAGAGUUCUGGCUGUGAACAGUUUAUGCCUUAAUCUUUUGACUGACAAUACUGUACUUGAAUACUUGAAUUCCUGUCUCUUUUAUGAAUGAGUCAUCACUAAUCCUCAAAUGAACUAUUAAUUCUAAUUAAUAUGGUCCAGAUGUUAUAAUACUUUACUGGUGGAUUAAUAGGCUUUCCCCAAACCUUUUACCUUAUGCUCUAAUCAUUUACAGGCAUUUUGCGGAUGAAGGCUUUAAUGCUCCAGGAAGAACUAACUAGAGAACUAACUGCCUUACAGAAAACCAUUGGGAGGAAACGUCUAUAAAUCUGAAAACAAGAACAAAUUUUAAAAGUUGGAAAAAAAAAAGAGGUAAGAGGAAAAGUUCUAGUGCCAGAAAUGAGAUUAAAUGUCUUCUUUUUAUAGGAAAAAAGUGAAGUAGGAAUCUUUACCUUUUUGUUUUAAAAGGUAUACAAUUUUGAUAAUGGGAAAGUCAACAGAUUUUACAAAAAGGAUUGUGAAAAUCAAAUUAUCUGAGUGCAAAUCACGUUUACUAAAUGAGACAGAGCAAAAGGUGCAGCAAAAAUGGGGUCAUGACUAAUUUUCUCAAGUCCAGAAUAUUUCUAACCUCCACCUAGACCGAAAUCACGUGAAGCCAGAGGCCAGCUAGCUAUAAUCAGAAAGGCACUAUGUAGCCGUUUUGUAUACCUGGACCCGGAGCGGCAAAUAAUCUUCACAGAGAUCAUCCCACAGCUCCUGCAGGUCUGAAAGCUCCAAGGGAUAACUCACAGGUGUCUUGUA